rnacentral:hammerhead_ribozyme from 1 species
GCACUGCUGACGAGUCCCAAACAGGAUUAAACUGCUGUCCAGUGC